rnacentral:rRNA from 1 species
AUGGGUUCAGGAAACCUGAUGGUGAAGAAGGUGGUGAGGCCCAGCUCUUUUGACCUCGACAUACAUCUCGACAAAAGCUGGAAGGAGGACGUUACCUGCCCAAUCUGUCUGGAUUACCCCCACAAUGCAGUCCUACUGAGGUGCACAUCUUAUGAGAAGGGCUGCAGGCCGUUUGUGUGCGACACCGACCAGACCCGCUCCAACUGUCUUGAGAGGUUCAAAGGUGCUUAUGAGCUGCCUGCCAAUGUCAAGGUCUCGUCUAUAGCUGUGGCCCCUCUUGAUAGCAUCCACAUCGUGUCGUCUCACGCAAACAAUCGCCCAAGUUGCCCGUUGUGCAGAGGUGAUGUUAUCGGGUGGAUUGUAAUCAGCGAGGCUCGUCUGCAUCUUAACCAGAAGAAGAGAUGCUGUGAAGAGGAUUGCUGCUCCUUUACUGGCAACUUCAAUGAGCUUCAGAAGCACACACAACAAAAGCAUCCAGAUUCACGCCCUUCAGAAAUCGACCCUGCCAGGCAAGUCGAUUGGGACAACUUCCAGCAAUCUUCUGAUAUCGUGGAUGUCUUGAGCACAAUACAUGCACAAGUUCCUAAUGGCAUCGUUCUCGGAGACUAUGUCAUUGAAUAUGGGGAUGAUGAUACUGGAGAUGACUAUGAAGUGCUCCGCAGGGUUAGGAGGAAGUGGUGGUCUUUUAUUUGUUGCAAGGCUUUUUGUAGAUAUCCAAGGAGCCGAAGAAGAGGGAGAGGAAGGGACAAUAGAGGAAGUGGAAGGAGGAACAGCAAUCAGGCUCAUCUGGAGAACUUCAAUCUCGAGGUUCCGACACAAGCUGUUGACCUGAGGGAACUCAGAUUUGAUGAAAUCGAUGAUGAGUACAUUGUUACAGGGGCAGUACCUAGUAUGGCAACACCAGGAAGAAUGGCCAGUUUCCAUUACAGGGAUACAAGAUAUGGUCGGUGA